CGGACGGGUGAGUAAUGUCUGGGAAACUGCCUGAUGGAGGGGGAUAACUACUGGAAACGGUAGCUAAUACCGCAUAACGUCGCAAGACCAAAGAGGGGGACCUUGGGCCUCUUGCCAUCGGAUGUGCCCAGAUGGGAUUAGCUAGUAGGUGGGGUAAAGGCUCACCUAGGCGAUGAUCCCUAGCUGGUCUGAGAGGAUGACCAGCCACACUGGAACUGAGACACGGUCCAG
rnacentral:rRNA from 1 species